rnacentral:tRNA from 1 species
GGCGUUGUGGCUCAGUGGAAGAGCACUUGCCUAGAUAUGUGAGGCACUGGGUUUGAUCCCUAGCACCGCCU